rnacentral:rRNA from 1 species
GAUAAACGCUGGCGGCGUGCCUAAUACAUGCGAGUCGAGCGAACGGACGAGAAGCUUGCUUCUCUGAUGUUAGCGGCGGACGGGUGAGUAGCACGUGGAUAACCUACCUAUAAGACUGGGAUAACUUCGGGAAACCGGAGCUAAUACCGGAUAAUAUUUUGAACCGCAUGGUUCAAAAGUGAAAGACGGUCUUGCUGUCACUUAUAGAUGGAUCCGCGCUGCAUUAGCUAGUUGGUAAGGUAACGGCUUACCAAGGCAACGAUGCAUAGCCGACCUGAGAGGGUGAUCGGCCACACUGGAACUGAGACACGGUCCAGACUCCUACGGGGGGCAGCAGUAGGGAAUCUUCCGCAAUGGGCGAAAGCCUGACGGAGCAACGCCGCGUGAGUGAUGAAGGUCUUCGGAUCGUAAAACUCUGUUAUUAGGGAAGAACAUAUGUGUAAGUAACUGUGCACAUCUUGACGGUACCUAAUCAGAAAGCCACGGCUAACUACGUG